rnacentral:lncRNA from 1 species
UCGGAGUCGGAGUCUGGGUAUUGCUGUUGCGACUCAGUAAGUUGUUGUGCUUGUUCUUCUUCUUCAUCAUCCUCUUCUGGGUCUUGUGACUCAGUGAGUUGUUGUUCCUCUUCGUUCGACAUUGCUUUGCAGUAGAAAGAAGGGAGAGGUUGAAGAAGAUAAGGUAGAGAAUGUUAAGAAGAAAAGGAUCGUUAGGAUUGAAGACAGCGGUUUAUCAUUUCAAAAGGGUUUUGGGCGUUUUGGCAUUUUCCAUGUCUUUUAAGUGAUUUUUGUGGUGUACCUACCUUUGCUUUCUAUUUUCAUUUUGGUAAGUAUAGACAAAUGAUGUUAUCUUUUUUCAUGUGAAUUUGGUAGAUAAUAAUAUUUUACACAUUUUAUUAAUUUGGUUCUAUUUUUAGAAAAUUUAAUUUUAAAUUUUAUACAUUCUCUUAAUUUUAUCUUAAUUUUAAAUUUUUAAAAAUUCAAAAAAUUAAAAAUUAUUAAAUGUCUGAAAAAAAUACAUAGAAAUUAAAAUUUAGCGGGUGAAACAAAAACAUGAAAUGGAUCGAAACAAGGGUACUAUUUCAAGGAAUGAGGCACAAACAAUUUCAUGGUUCUAGACAAGAUUCUCCACAUCUUUUUCUUAGGUUAUUAAAUGUUAAGUUUUUGGGUUGAACUUAAACAGUUAAACUUUCAUAACGCAUCAUUCAUUGCUUGUGGGCUCAUUUGCUAAACUUUUAGACUAGAAUUAUUGAAGAAUCAUAUUUGACACUCUUUUGAUGAACAUACAUUUAUUUAUAUAUAUUUAUAUGUUUAAUUAUUGGAUUUAAAUUGUUAGACUAUCCAAUAGGAACCUCCAUUAUUGGAUUUAAAUUGCUAGCUGGGUAUAUUUAUGUUGACUGCACUGACAGUAGAAAGCAAAUUUCUAUCUCCAUAUCAACUAUAAAGACUAAGCAUAUCUUUGCUUGAAGUUAUUGUACACUUCUCUAGAGGUCACUAUGGUGUUAAAAAAAGUGUUGCUAAACAUUUCAAAGAAUAAUAUAUUGUACCUACGCACAUGAUUAUGAGCCUCCAAGUGUUAGAUGUCAUGUUGAUUCUUCAAAAGUGCAGAAAUGAUUUAAUCAUUAGUAUUCGUUAUAUUUAGACCGCAAUAUCUGGUGAGGAGUCUUUGUACCUAAGAACAUGAUUAUGAACGUCCAGAUGCCAUGUCGGUUCUUCAAGAUUGGAGAAGUGAUGGAGUUUUAUGGUGGUUUAAACAAAUAUUCUUGACUUGAAAUGCAAGGGAAUUUUACCUUUAAACAUCAAUCUUGGGAUUGCUCCAUUUACCAUGUUUACUUGAUAAAAAAAUAAAACCAGUUCUCAUGAUUCAUAUUCGAUUGUUAAUGUUCAAAUUUUGAUACUAAUCAAAUUCAAGCUCAAAUAUUAAAGCUCGUGAUAGCUCAACUUGCUGUAAAUCACAAAGUAGAAUUCAAAUUUGAUUUCCAAUAUUCAAAAAAUUUUCAAGCAAAACCCAAAUAUCUUCCAAGAGUAUAAAAUUUUCCCAUUUACACUCCUAGUCACAGCACUCCCAAUGUGAAAUUUUAAAUGAAAAUAAAACCAAUAGGACCAAAAGUAUUGAAGUUGAUCAUUCACCCCAAAUCCCAAUUGCCUGAAUGAAACUUUCGUUGAUCCUUCAACUUUCAUAUAAGAAUCAAAGCAUCCAAGAAACAUUCCAGAUGAGAUUUUGCUCAUCGUCUAAGCUUUUUCUUUGUAUAGGAAAAAAUGUGCCAAAGCUCAAAAUGAUUUUUCAAUGUCUAACUUUGACGUUAUUUUUCUCUGUUUUUAAAAAAUAAAAGCUAAGUGUAUACUUCAAAUUAAGAUUGGCCAAAAAACCAAUCAAAUGCAACCUCAACAAAGACUGACCCUCGUAAGUGCAAUCACUCAAGUUCCUACAAUGAGGCUCCAUGCCUUUUAGUAUCUGGGUAUGAUUCCAAAUAACAAACCGGAAUAUGCAAAGAUAAGAUGUCUGAAUAUUUCUUCGGUGCAACAUGCAGCUCAGAACGGUUAAGGUUUCCAGGUCGUCUUACAUGGCUUCUGGUAGUAGUUGAAGGGCAUGAUAAGAUCUUGCAUAAGGAGUGUAACUGAGACUUCUUUCCUCUAGAUUGGUUUUGUGGUUGAAACUUCUGAUGGUCUUGCUUGAAUGCCCUCAACCUUCCUUUGUGGCCUAGCACCAAAGGGAAACUGACCGAAUCAAUUAUUUUCAAUGGAUCGCUGGCGCUUUCCACACUUGACGGAGGAUGGGAUUUUAGUGGUAAUCUACGUUGUUUCAGUGCUAAAAUUGAUUCUCGCAAUGUAGAUGGAACCUGUAAAGCAAAAGAUAGUAACCAUUGAAAUCUGAAAUAUAAAAGCAAUGCAACUUUCAAAUGACCACCCAUUCAAUUAGCAUAAAGAAUUGUGAAACUAAACAGAAUAGACAUAAAUGGUCAUUUCGGUUACAAUCUGAUAUCGGAAUAAAGGCUUUUCAGACAAAUUCCCCAUUAGUCAAAGAGCAAAGGCUUCACCUUCAUAGACCAUUUUUUCCUCCACAUGCAAAUCACAGAAUUAGAACAGAAAUGAGAACAAAACAUGGAAAUAAAAUUGAAUUGUAUAAGAAUUUACCACUGAAACAAGGCUGCAAGAAGCAAACAACAAUGAAGAUGAAGAGAAUGGAGGCUCCCUAGGCUUCUUUUCCUUCUGAUUGCCAGCAACAGAUCCAAAACUGGAAGGUGUAACAUCAUCAUCAUCAUCCUCUUCCUCUUCCUCUUCCUCUCCGUCUUCCUCUUCAUCCACAACUUUGUCAAAAUCAUCUUUGGGAAUGGCUUUGUCCUCUAGGUUAGCCACCACAGAAGUAUCUUCAUCCUCCAGCAAUCCCAUUUCCAUCUUCUUCUCCUCCUCUUUUUCUUUCUUCUUUAGUUCUUCAUCCAUGUCCUCAAUGGCCUCUUCUAAACACAGUUCAGCCUCUAUAAGAUCAAGUUCCUUUUCAAUAAGCUUCAUCUUCAACUCACCAGCCUUCUUCUUCUCUUCAGUCCACUUUUCUAGUUUAUCAAAUCCUGGCUUCAACGCAUUUUCUAUUGUCGUUAUUAGACGCUUCCAUAUAUUAUCCCUUUUUUGAAUCACUUCCCGUCCAUAGAACUCAUCAAAUCCAAGGGGCAGGAACUUAGCCUUCUUUGGAUCAAUCUCUUCACCUUCUUUCACAGGUGGCUGCCAAAAUAAUCGGACACCAUGUUCCUCAUCCUCAAUGUAAUUGAUCAAUUGUCCAGUUGGGGUAUGCAAAAUGAGCGGGUCUUCAGUAUAUAUUAGCUUUGACGGAUCUUCAGGAUCAGGCUCCGGUUCUUUGUUGAUAAGUACAAAUUCAGGAGUUUCAUCUGAUCAAUAAAAUGUAACCAUCCAUUUAAAAAAACCAAAAAGGAAAAGGAUUCUUCAUAUCACUUUUGGAGACUAAGAAAUAAUAACAGAAGCGAAUAAAGAAAUACCUUUCGACCACCAAUAUUCAAGCUCUGCAGGCAUAGGUAACCUCAGGGGAGCUUUAUAAAAUGAGUUCAGCCACAUUUCUCUUUCCUGAUCAACUUCAUGCACAUAUGACUUCCAAUAAUCAGGAACCUGCCAACAAACAUACUUAUUUCUUCUCCCUUUUCAUAAUUGUGGAAAGAAUCCACCACGCGAAAGAAAAGCUUUUACUUACUUCGUAGAACUGAUUGAUAAAGCCUGGUGCCAUCCACACAUCUUCCUCCUCAUAGAAAUAGGGGUGUUGAGGAUCACCAUAAGGGCCCCUCUCUUCCCUAACCACUAUACAUGCAAACCAAGAUAAAAAGUCAAGAUUAUAUAAGGUUAAUGUUUAAAAUUGUCAGUGAUUAAAUGUAAAAAGGCAUAGGGGUUCCAAAGUAUCAUGUAGAGGGUAAAUCCAAAGAAAGUCAUGCGUUCAAAUUUCAGAGUAUAGUCAAGUCAGGCCUUCCGCAAUGAGGAACAUCCAACAUGACAAACUGCACUUGAACUUCAAAUCAUAUUCUAGAGGACCCAGAAAACAAAUUAUGCAAAACAGUCAACAAGAGGCUCCUUGAAUCUCCAAAGAACUUCCUUUUGCACCCAAUAAAUAGAUAAGCAGAAGACUGUGAGGGAGGCUUUUAGCAACGAUAACACUUAUAAGUUAUAACCCAUAUUCAUCUCUAAAUAUGAGUACGUACAACUUCAAAAUAUUCAGCUUCAUCACAAACCAAAAAGUUGACCUAUUCAGUUACCGCAAGGUACAAAGUUCAGCCACUUCUAUUUUCCUUUUUGUUUUCUUCCCUUUCUGUUUUUUACUCUAGCAUAGCUCUACAGCCAUGAUCUAAUUAGCACAUGCUUGAAACAUUGGCAUGAUUGACACUAGGGGACACAACUCUCAUGUCAACCAUAACAGAAACUUGUAGGAACAAUUAUAAGAGAAAAUUAUAUGUCAAAUAUACCUGAACAAGUCGAAUUUUAAAGAUGGUAUGCAUUUUUUGUUGAAGAAACUUGCACAGAGAUCUAUCUUGUUUCCAUAUAUAAAAUUUUAGAAGUUACCAAACAAGAUUUUGUGCUUAUGCAAAUCUAAUAGUUAAUAAAGCAAGACUACAUACUUCCAUCUGGCUUAUUAACAAACAUCCGAGCCUUAGCAGCAGCAACCUCUGCAAUACCAGCAUGCAUCUGAAAAACUGCAAUGUCAGAGAAAUACCAUAAUAUAGAAUUUAUUCCAACCCCCCCCCCCAAAAAAAAAAAACUUCAUUUUGAACUAUUUAUUAAGUAGGAAACAAAUUGAGAAUACCGCUGAAAUGUUCUCAUCACAACCAUCUAAAUCCUCCAAUAACUCUCCAAAAUAGAAUCUACCCUGCACCGUUACAAAUUAUGGAACACAAAAGCAGUCAAGCACUUUUAUAAGACAAUUUGAGUAGCAGAAAUGGUUCAUACAACAAGUGAAAAAUAAUAUAUCAUAUGUGCAUGUAAUAUAGUAUCAACCAUUAACCAAAUAGAACAAUGAAUGUUUUGCAUUCUCUUAAAACCAUUAUAUCUUAGCAUCUUUCUUUUGAAAAAUAUUGUACAAAUUUCCUACUUUUCAACUAUUAUGUUACUAGAAAGCAUUAUUUUAAAGAAAACUGAGGCCUAUAAAGCAGAGGCAAAAACUUGGAUGCAGCAACACAUACUAAAUCUUAUGUAAAAAUAAAUCCACAUCUUCAUGGAAGAAAUGGAUUGAAUUACGCAAAUUGAGACUCAAACAGAACAGUCUAUAUUUUAAGCACAUACAUAGAUGGUGCGCUCAUUGACUUCAUAUACACCACACCCAUGCAUUCUGCCAUGCUUCCACUGGCCAGCAUAGCGGUAUCGACCCUUCUCCCUGAAACAGAAAUGUUUGUCCUCUUAACACCACAAAUUGAGAUACAUGCCUGCUAAAGUCUCAAAAGUUCGGCAGAAAAAGUAAGAUACAAGUGCCUUGCAUGAUACAAUGUAAAUGCUCAAUAUGUGCAUGUGCAGAUUGGACAAUUGGGUAGGAUUAGGAAAAGCAACAUGCAUAUUAUCAAAAAUAAAAACAAAAUAAGGCAGAUUCAAAUGCAAUGACAAAAAUAAUAAUAAUAAGACAAAAAGAAAUAGAAUAUUUGAUGGAGAAACAUACGGUUUUCUGCCAAAAUGUUUGAUCCAUAUAUCACUCUCAUAAAAUGGUAUUUCAUAUUGCCCAUCCGCCAGGCGAAUGCUAUCCUCAACAUCCAUCUCUAACCAUUCUCUAUCUUCUGGAGUCAUGAAAUCUCUUGAUAUUAUUUUCCCUUCAGCUCGCAUUUUUGCUUCAAGCCUAGAAAAAUGGGAAAAUUCCAACUUCAUUGUAUCAUUUAUAAUCAAUUGCUGAGAUUGUAAAACCUAUGCUAUAAUAUAAGUGCAUCAUAAAUAGUUCACAAAUUGUUACGUACUUGGAACCUGGCACAGGUUCUAUAUCAGGUAUAUCAACUUCAACAACCCCAUGACCUUCCAUAUUGUUUUGCAACCAUUCACCUUCAUACCUAUAAAAGGAAGCAUCCUGUAAAUUUUCUAAAAAAAGCGUAAGCAGCUCAAAAGUACUUGAUGCAACUUAGCCCAAACGGAACAAUUUCUAGACCCAUAAAACAGAGGAAAAUAAUAUUUAAAGAGCACUCUCUGGGUUGAAUAGUGCAGACGCUGUCAUUUCAAUCCUAACAAUGUUGUCAAGACUCGAAUCACUACAGCCCACAACGUAGGGAGUUUGAUAUAGUCCACCUUUUUACUAAUAAAAAACUUUUAGAAAAUAACAAUAAUAAAAGAAAUAUUUAAAGAGAACUUCAAUCGGGCAAGCUUCUACUUGCACCUGCUGCCGUACAAGAAAGGGUCUUCAUUGCUUUUAUAGUCUAGCACCUUGGUGCUUGACAUCACUGACUCGUAUAACUACAAACAAUCUUAUCUGCAUGUUUAAGGGUCCUUCAAUGCAGGAUGGUACUAGAACAUAGGUAUGAAGAAAGCGUAAAACAGCAUUAUGAUAAAGUGAAGAGAUACACAUACACAAGAAAUCAAGACUGAAGUGUCAAGCAUUGACAAACCUGACCAGCCCCUGUUCUGCAACAUAAACACCUUUGCCAUGAGCCAAAUCAUCCCAAACCGUGCCUUCAUACCUUAAACAAAAUGCAGAAUGACUAUAAUGAGUAAUCAAACAAGUCAAAGCAAAACCAGAAUCAGGCAUACCGUUACCCGGAACUUCAAACAUGUCAAAAGCAAACUACUGGAUUAAAAACGAGUGGAGGACUGACUUUCAACAUAAAGCCACAAUUUUGCUUCGUGCAAUUGACCAAGUUCAAACUUAUCCAAAUGCACAUUUAGCUACCUCAUUUACAAACUCCCCAGUCCUAAAUAAACUACCAUACUGCAAUAAAGUUGCAUGCCUUAACAAGACAAAUAGUAACAAAAUGAGGGGAAAAGAGUAAGAGAGAGAGUCGGUUUAACAUACGAGCUUCCAUCAGGGAAAAUGUAGCUGACCCAAUUGAGAAACUCCUCAAUCCUAUCCAACUCUUCAAUAACUGCUUUGGGGUUCGAAAUAUCAUAAUGAUUGUCCGGUAUCGCCGGAUAAGGCUUCCGAUAAGGAACAUAAAACGGGGCAAUCCCCGGGUCCCGGCCCUCCUUAAUCUCAUCCCUAACAAUUUCCCAAUCUUCCUCAUCAGCCCAAACAGGGUCCCAACCGGGUUUGGUCAUCUCCAGCGGAGCAUCCACCCAAUACUCCUUCAAAUCCUCUUCCCGCCAAUUCUCGGGGUCUGGUGGAAAAUCCCAUAAGUCUUCGAUGUAAACGUAGUCUUCGUCUUCUUCCUCUUGGAUCCUCUUGAUUCUCUUGCUCUCCAGCACCCGAGUGUACCUGCGGAUGUUGGUUUCGGGGGUGUUUACGGUUUCAGGUGGGGCCUCUCCGGGUCGGGUGUAAGUGAGGGUUUCGGAAUCGGAUUCCUCGAUGUAGUCGUCAGAGGAAGAGGAGGAGUAGUCGGAGUCGGAGUCGGAGUCUGGGUAUUGCUGUUGCGACUCAGUAAGUUGUUGUGCUUGUUCUUCUUCUUCAUCAUUCUCUUCUGGGUCUUGUGACUCAGUGAGUUGUUGUUCCUCUUCGUUCGACAUUGCUUUGCAGUAGAAAGAAGGGAGAGGUUGAAGAAGAUAAGGUAGAGAAUGUUAAGAAGAAAAGGAUCGUUAGGAUUGAAGACAGCGGUUUAUCAUUUCAAAAGGGUUUUGGGCGUUUUGGCAUUUUCCAUGUCUUUAAGUGAUAUUUG